UCUGUAUUCACUAAACCACCAAUGUUAAACCAGGAGAAAUAUUUAUAAAGAAACUUCAUGCAGAGAGGACUGGCUAAAUAAGAGAGACUGAACAGCAGCAGACCUUUCAAGAGGUCUCAGAAGACCCUACUACAUUGUAUAUCUACAGUUAAGACAGAGAAUUGUGUUCAAAUGAAGAAAGUCCAAAAGACUGAGAAUGGCAUCACUGGAAAGGCCAUGGGGAAUACACCAGAGCUGGAUGCUCGAGAAGAGAA
rnacentral:lncRNA from 1 species